UACGUAGGGUGCAAGCGUUUGUCCGGAAUUAUUGGGCGUAAAGAGCUCGUAGGCGGUUUGUCGCGUCGGCUGUGAAAGCCCGGAGCUCAACUCCGGGUCUGCAGUCGAUACGGGCAGACUUGAGUGUUGCAGGGGAGACUGGAAUUCCUGGUGUAGCGGUGAAAUGCGCAGAUAUCAGGAGGAACACCGGUGGCGAAGGCGGGUCUCUGGGCGGUAACUGACGCUGAGGAGCGAAAGCGUGGGGAGCGAACAGG
rnacentral:rRNA from 1 species